AACGUAGGUGGCGAGCGUUAUCCGGAUUUACUGGGCGUAAAGCGCGUUCAGGCGGUUUGGCAAGUCGGGCAUGAAAUCUCUCGGCUCAACCGGGAGAGGUUGUCCGAUACUUCCAGACUUGAGGGCAGUAGAGGGUGGUGGAAUUCCGGGUGUAGUGGUGAAAUGCGUAGAUAUCCGGAGGAACACCAGUGGCGAAAGCGGCCACCUGGACUGCACCUGACGCUGACACGCGAAAGCUAGGGGAGCGAACGGG
rnacentral:rRNA from 1 species